rnacentral:piRNA from 1 species
UACCUACCUACCUUCCUUCCCUCUGAG